CGGCGCAGCCUGAACCAGCCAUGCCGCGUGCAGGAUGACGGUCCUAUGGAUUGAAACCGCUUUAUACGGGAGAAACACUCGGACGUGUCCGAGCUCGACGGUACCGUAGGAAUAAGGAUCGGCUAACUCCGUGCCAGCGACCGCGGUAAU
rnacentral:rRNA from 1 species